UACGGAGGGUGCAAGCGUUAUCCGGAUUCACUGGGUUUAAAGGGUGCGUAGGUGGGUUGGUAAGUCAGUGGUGAAAUCUCCGAGCUUAACUCGGAAACUGCCAUUGAUACUAUCUGUCUUGAAUACCGUGGAGGUUAGCGGAAUAUGUCAUGUAGCGGUGAAAUGCUUAGAUAUGACAUAGAACACCAAUUGCGAAGGCAGCUGGCUACACGAAUAUUGACACUGAUGCACGAAAGCGUGGGGAUCAAACAGG
rnacentral:rRNA from 1 species